rnacentral:rRNA from 1 species
GAUGAACGCUGGCGGCGUGCCUAAUACAUGCAAGUCGAGCGAACAGACGAGGAGCUUGCUCCUCUGACGUUAGCGGCGGACGGGUGAGUAACACGUGGAUAACCUACCUAUAAGACUGGGAUAACUUCGGGAAACCGGAGCUAAUACCGGAUAAUAUAUUAAACCGCAUGGUUCAAUAGUGAAAGACGGUUUUGCUGUCACUUAUAGAUGGAUCCGCGCCGCAUUAGCUAGUUGGUAAGGUAACGGCUUACCAAGGCAACGAUGCGUAGCCGACCUGAGAGGGUGAUCGGCCACACUGGAACUGAGACACGGUCCAGACUCCUACGGGAGGCAGCAGUAGGGAAUCUUCCGCAAUGGGCGAAAGCCUGACGGAGCAACGCCGCGUGAGUGAUGAAGGUCUUCGGAUCGUAAAUCUCUGUUAUUAGGGAAGAACAAAUGUGUAAGUAACUAUGCACGUCUUGACGGUACCUAAUCAGAAAGCCACGGCUAACUACGUG